rnacentral:misc_RNA from 1 species
GAACUGCGAUAAGUAAUGUGAAUUGCAGAAUUCAGUGAAUCAUCGAGUCUUUGAACGCACAUUGCGCCCCCUGGCAUUCCGGGGGGCAUGCCUGUCCGAGCGUCAUUGCUGCCCAUCAAGCCCGGCUUGUGUGUUGGGUCGUCGUCCCCCCCGGGGGACGGGCCCGAAAGGCAGCGGCGGCACUGUGUCCGGUCCUCGAGCGUAUGGGGCUUUGUCACCCGCUCGACUAGGGCCGGCCGGGCGCCAGCCGACGUCUCCAACCAUUUUUCUUCAGGUUGACCUCGGAUCAGGUAGGGAUACCCGCUGAACUUAAGC